UCAUUGGCAGAUGAGGAAAUUGAAACCAGGUUGGCAAGGAUAAUUUCCCAAGGUCGCAGAGAUAAUUAGAAGGAGAACAAGGCCUCAGACAUGAGUAUUCAAAGUCUUAACUAGAGUCCUUUUUGCACCAUAAAGGUCACAGUUCUUCAAGGUUUAAAAAUGAACUAGAACAAAGAGUCUAGUCAUUGAGUACCAAAAGCAAGUGAGAUUGAUUAUAAAUGCAAAUCAUAAAACAUAUCAAUUUGUGAAGACUCUAAGUGUUCUACAUCUAUUUUUUUAAUUUAAAUGCUUUUAAGAAAUAUCUACUUCUCCUUGGAGAGUAUGUGGUACAUUUUCUUCUAACUGUUAUAAGCAACAGGACCUUGUUGAUAAUGAUGUACAAGUAAUGUGAUUAAGACAGCCAGAGGACAAAAUUGAUUUCUGCACAGUUCAUCUGACUAUAUCUCAAGGAAUUUGCUAUAUUUUAAGAAAAAGAAUGUAACAUUUGACAAAUGAAAUUACAAUGAUAUGAGAAUAUAGACACUAAAACUUGUUUAAUAACAUUUGUCUGAAUUUUACUUUUUAGGAUAGCACAAGGACAGUCAGCCAAUGGGCAAAUAGUCUAAGCUUUUUCUGCAGUGGCAAUUAUCUAAGGAUAACUUAAGGUGUCUACUGCAUUAUAUAGUCAGCUCGGGACCAAAAUUUCAUUAAAAAAAAA
rnacentral:lncRNA from 1 species